rnacentral:rRNA from 1 species
UAAAGGAAGCGAUUCCGGCUACGGAUGGUCAUGCGUCGCAUUAGCUAGUUGGCGGGGUAACGGCCCACCAAGGCGACGAUGCGUAGGGGUUCUGAGAGGAAGGUCCCCCACACUGGUACUGAGACACGGACCAGACUCCUACGGGAGGCAGCAGUGAGGAAUAUUGGUCAAUGGCCGCAGGGCUGAACCAGCCAAGUCGCGUGAGGGAUGACGGUCCUAUGGAUUGUAAACCUCUUUUGUCAGGGAGCAAAGGGCGCCACGUGUGGCGCUUUGCGAGUACCUGAAGAAAAAGCAUCGGCUAACUCCGUGCCAGCAGCCGCGGUAAUACGGAGGAUGCGAGCGUUAUCCGGAUUUAUUGGGUUUAAAGGGUGCGCAGGCGGAAUGUCAAGUCAGCGGUAAAAUUUCGGGGCUCAACCCCGUCGUGCCGUUGAAACUGGCGUUCUUGAGUGAGCGAGAAGUAUGCGGAAUGCGUGGUGUAGCGGUGAAAUGCAUAGAUAUCACGCAGAACUCCGAUUGCGAAGGCAGCAUACCGGCGCUCAACUGACGCUCAUGCACGAAAGCGUGGGUAUCGAACAGGAUUAGAUACCCUGGUAGUCCACGCAGUAAACGAUGAAUACUAACUGUCCGGGC